CUCCUGAAUGUCCUGGGCAACGCGCGCACUGCAAUGGCAGAGCCAGCGGGUUUGGAUCGUAUUACGAGCCUUCUCCAGAAAGGAGCGGGUAAACGGUGAACUCUGCCGUGCCAGGGGUCGAGGCUUGCAAUUGUUUCCCUUAAACCAGGGCCUAGCAGGCGCAGGCCAUCAGCCUGCACCUUCCUCUAGACGAUGGGUGCUGCGUGGCCGGCAAACUUUACCCACCACCCAAUCGGUAGCAACGACGGGCGGUGUGUACAAAUGGCAGCAAAAGUCGCAACA
rnacentral:rRNA from 1 species